CGACACAAGCACAGGCCAACAACAUAGAAUUUAUAAUCCAAGCCUUUUCAGUAAGAACUGAGCUACAGCAGACAGGCAGGGGGAGCAACAUGAUGUCAGAAACCCAGGUUCUCAUAUCUCUGCUGCUCUUGGUGUCUGGCGCCUGUGCAGAUAUCGUGAUGACUCAGUCUCCAUCCUCCCUGGCUGUGUCAGUAGGAGAGAAGGUCACCAUCAGCUGCAAGUCCAGCCAGAGUCUUUUAUCUGGUAGCUACAACUACUUGGCUUGGUACCAGCAGAAACCAGGGCAGGCUCCCAAACUACUGAUCUACUUGGCAUCCACUCGGGAAACUGGGGUUCCUGAUCGCUUUACAGGCAGUGGAUCUAAGACAGAUUUCACUCUCACCAUCAGCAGUGUGCAGUCUGAAGACAUGGCAGAUUAUUACUGUCAGAAGCAUUAUGGUGCUCCUCCCACAGUGCUUCAGCCUUGA